rnacentral:sRNA from 1 species
ACUAAAAAUGUGCACCUUCUUGCCCGGACAGGGUGCUGGGCUGUGUGGCUGUCCUGAGGAACUGUGAUAGCAACAGCUGUGGUCCUGCAGCAGGUGGGGGGCCCGGGAUCCAGCCUCCCCUCUUCCCUUCCCUGGCAGGGGCCAGGCAUGUGAGGUCUCUGCGGGUCAUGGAGAACCUCCCUGCCGUGACCACUGAGGAGCCGGCCCCCAUGGGGAGGGGUCCUGUGGGACCCUCAGGAGGUGGCAGCAGCCGGGACCAGGUCCGGACUGUGGCCAUGAGGCCCUCUGUGAGCUGGGAGAAAGCGGGGCCCAAGGAGGCCAAGGCACCGGUGAGAGGCGACGAGGCUCCUCCUGCCCGCGUGGCUGGGCCUGCUGCUGGGACCCCUCCCUGCCAGAUGGGGGUUUAUCCCACAGACCUGACCCUGCAGCUGCUGGCUGUGCGGAGGAAGAGCGGACUGCGGGACCCCGGCCUACAGCAGACCCUCCGGGGCCAGCUCCGCCUGCUGGAGAAUGAUAGCCGGGAGAUGGCCCGCGUGCUUGGGG